UACGAAGGGGGCUAGCGUUGCUCGGAAUCACUGGGCGUAAAGCGCACGUAGGCGGAUCUUUAAGUCAGGGGUGAAAUCCCGGAGCUCAACUCCGGAACUGCCUUUGAUACUGAGGGUCUUGAGUCCGGGAGAGGUGAGUGGAACUGCGAGUGUAGAGGUGAAAUUCGUAGAUAUUCGCAAGAACACCAGUGGCGAAGGCGGCUCACUGGCCCGAUACUGACGCUGAGGUGCGAAAGCGUGGGGAGCAAACAGG
rnacentral:rRNA from 1 species